GGGUGUAGCUCAGUGGUCGAGCACUUGCCUAAUAAAUAAGAGGUCCUAGGUUCAACCCUCAGUAUCACCCA
rnacentral:tRNA from 1 species